GCUGCAGAUGGAGGCUCCGCCGGGGGCAGCAGCCGCCCCCGGGGCGGGGGGGGGGGGUGGGGGGGGGCUGCGGCGGCGGCGCCUGCGAAAAUCCGGACCUGGAACCGGCGGCCGAGGAGGGGAGGGGACGGGGGGGGGACGGGAGGGGACGGGAGGGGAGGGGGGGGGCGCAGGGAGCGGGGCCGGGGGGGCUGCGGGCACGGCCGGGGUGGGGCAGCCCCUGAGGGGACGCCAAGCGCUGCACUGGGGGUGUGGGGGUCCUGGGGGGGGUCCCAAGGGGGUCCCGGGGGGGUCCCGGGGCAGGCCGUGCCCCGGUAGGGCCUGCAGCCCCCCCCCGCCCGAGACGUGGUGUGAGGGGGAGCCGAGGGGGCAGCGGGGGGCUCCCAGCGCCGCCGGGCACGGCCCCCCCCCGGCUCGGUACCUCGGCUGCAGGCAGGCAGAUGUAUGCAGAUCCGCACUCCUCUCCCUCCUGACUUUCCUCAAAUAUGUCAGAAAUAAUUGGCUCAAUGAAAGGCUAAGUCAAUGACAAGUCUGAAGUUUAGAGCUCCGCUUGUUUUGAGCUCUUUUCAAGUGCCGCCACUCCUCCUUCCUACAGCUUUGUGAAAGUUAAUGAUCUGAUUAAAGCAAGGUAAAGUAUACAGCCGGGAGGAUUUCGCCGUGCGCCUCGUUACGAACCGUCUGGGAACGGCUUUUUGUUGGGAACGGUAAUUUACGCCGGCACUUUUCACCCGAGCUGAGCCACAGGGGAGAUUUCUGCUCGGCUGGGCGCAGCACGGGGCAACAAGCAGCGGUUGGGGCCUGGCAUGGCCCUUCUGUGCCCCCCGUGUCCCCCACAUCCCCAUCCCUCCGCUGCCCAGGAACUGAUCGAGCCCAGGAUCCUAUUUUCUCCUGGACCAGAUGCGGGACGAGGAGGUGCACGUCUCUCCUCGUCACUGCACGCGGCUGGGGGCUUCGUGCCAGGCUCUCCGCACAGGAGCAGCCCCGUGGCCAUGAAGCCAUCCGGGCACAGGAGCUGCACGCCCUCGUUGAUGCUUGCAGAACACUGUCGAGUUGUAAAUGCACAGGUAUACGUGAGGCCCCGUGCUGCAAGGCAUCGAUCUACCAAGCAGGGCAAAAAACACAGCCCACGCCUUGUGCUUGGAGGCACUUCAUAGCUCAAAGCGUUGGAGUUGUGAUGGGAAAGGCUGGCGCUGUCCAGUGGUGCAAAGCAGCUUGGAUCUGUGGCCAUGAGGGGCGUCCCGGUUUCCCCAGGCAGGAGCAAGCCCAGGUGCCCCUCACCGUGCCCGCAGGUUCUGGCUCCCUGCAACGGGAGCGUGCGAAAGCAGCAGGAGAAGCGCAGCGAGUUGCCGUCGCUGACCUGAUCGUGUUGCUAAACAGCACCAGCGCCACGCAGUCACUCGGAGGGGAGGCAGAGCAAACCGAAACCCAUUAACGCCAGCCUCGCGCUGCCGACCAAGAAGGCCCUUCUGUUUCCUAAAAUAUUUAAAUGUCUCUGCAGCGAUGAUGAUUGCAGUAAUGGGCAAGAAAACGCCACUUAGGCUUCAUAAUGCUCUCCUUCUCAUUUCUGAACCAUGUUUUUGCCAUUAUUAUCUGGGUAUUAUUCUAAUGUACGCUUCAAAGCCAUUCCUUGUGACAAUUUCCAGGAAGUCACAUUGGAGAAGGGCUACUACAAAACCCCAGCGAAGAAGCUGCUCUCCUCGUGCUGCUUGGUGCUAGCCAGCAGGGUAGCAGCAGCUGGAACCGAAAUGUUGGUGGGGCUUGUAAGAAAUGGCGUUCUCUUCAAUACUUGCUUAAAAAAGUGUAUUUCCUACUCAUCAUUCUCUAGCAGCAUGUACAACGCAUACAUUUUGCAGUGUAAUGUUCAGCGGUUUUGAAGGUCACUGGGAUGUGCAUUUUUUUGGUAGCAGACUGGAAAUAAAGCUAAUUAUUUCCUGAAGCUGAAGAACAGGCAGCAGAAUGCGCAGCGCUAACAGGCAUCGCAGGGCUAUUCAAUUCCCCAGCUCCCCAGGUGCGAGGCUGCAGCCCCUCUGGGCAUCCGUGUGACUCCUGGGUUCGUGUUUGCGUGUGUCCUACAUAGGUGUAGUGUUUGUGUGCGUUUAUAAACAGUGCGCUGUGUAUUCCCCUGGCUGAGGGAAACCCUGAAUUAAUCAAUGCUACAGUUAACAGAGGUCAGAAUAUGAUACACUCGUGCAUGGCCUGAAUGUGCUAAAGUACCUCCUGACAUUUCUGUGGAUGCUGACUGAUAUCGUUCAAUCAAUUUAACCGUGCCACGGGGCCGCUGGGCUGGAGCACAGGGCCCUGUGUGCGUCCCCUGCCGCAGCCAAGAAAGCCUGGCUCCUGUCUGGUGCUCCUUCCUCCCAAGCAGCCAAUUUCUCCUGCCAUCUGUGUAAGAUUUAAAUGUUUAAUUUUGCACAGCUCUGCCACGCAGGAUGAUGGAUGAUAUCACAGAGAGUAACAAGUCAAAAGCAGAUUUAUCGGUGCGUCCUACACUAACUCCAUCACUUGGAGAUAAUGGUGCAAAACAGCACAACGGGACGGAGGCACGCUCAUCCUGCUGUCCUUCAGCUUGUGGAAAACCUGGUAAUUGCAGGAUCUCUGCUGGUAUGCAUGGCCAGCACUUGCUAUGUACCCCUUGAGGGGAAUGCUCACACGUGAUUAUUAAACUAAUUUUUUUAAUUAAAAAAAUAUAUAUUUCCAGAAACACACAUCGUUUGGGAAUUAGGAAUAUUAGGCAUUGAUUACCUUAGUUGCCUCCAUGGGAUGCAAACCACAAACCCUCCUCAUUCCUCGGCAGUGCUGGUAGGGGAUAAUGCAUGUGCUGGGGAUGGAUCCAGCUGGGCUCUAGCUCUUGGUGGUUUGCUUGUGUAAUAGCCAAGCAGCGAGCUCAUCUCCUGCUGCUUGCUCUGCUGGCAGCGUUACCUGGAGUGCGAUUGCUCAUGUGGCUGCAAGGGGGGAGAGGAAAUCUGCGCCCCACCUGCACUCGCCGCCUUCCGCUCUCCCAAAUGUCUUCAGAUGGCUUCCUGCAGCAGGGCUACCUGGAGGUAAAUCGGGAACAGGAGCACCACCCUAAUGAGGUUGUGCGGGGAUUCAUUGGUGAGCAACCCUAAGGUGCCCAAAGGACCACAAGGGAUAAAUAAAUGCAAGCAAUUCUCACCAUAAAUUAAGAAAAUUGGAGCUGACAAGGCGGGCGUUCUCCCAGCAUGAUGUGCUGGCAGGGGAUGUUCUCUGCCCCCUGGGCCACCACUGCUCUCAGCCUAGGGUCAGUGCUUUGGGGACACCAGCACGGCUAAGACAAGACCCCUCGUUGUCAGCUCCCAUCUGCUUUUCUUACACUAAAAGGCCCCCCCUUAGCAAACAGUAAGUUCAGAGUUGCACAGCAGGUGAAGCGUGCUGGGAAGUAUUUAGGGAACCAGACUCGUACCUCCACUAGUUCUCUCCUCUGGGUGUACCAAGUUUGCAAAAGCUUGCCACACCUCUCCAGGAGCAGGCUGAGCUUUAGGGGGGCUCUGGGGCAGCUUUUCCCCUCUGCCCCCAGCGCUUGUACCAGUCCAAGCAGGGGCAUAACCAGGCAGGGUGCCCUGGGCAUUCCCUUGCAGCAUCCGCACCGAGGCUGGAGAUGCAUCCCUGCUCCUUAAUGCACUGCUUCAAGCUGCACUAGUAAGCAGCAAGAGGCAAUGUGGAAAACAACCAGAAUGAUUAACGGCCAUCCCUGCUGCCGCUUGUGUUCACCAACUGCACCAGAAGGAGCAAUUCCAGAGACCAUCGCUCUGCCUCCGCUGCGCCGCUGCAUCGGGCACCUGAGCCGUGGGAUGGGAUCGCCCUGCCCGGCUGGGGAUGCACGAGGGCUCCUCCGCAGCUCUGCUGGCUCCCCCAGCUUUCUCCUGAACACUUAAAAAGGUGCUGUGACCACUUCUGCCAGGGAAAGCACUCGAUGCAAUUCACCAUCACCACGUUCCCUUCUGAAACUGGCUGACAUUAUGACGAGGCCAAGUUUUAAUUAGGCAACAAAAGGUAAUUAAACUAUCAAAAAUAUUAUUCACCAUCAAACAUUUGUGCUUGAAUAGUCUGAGCAGAAAUAACGACGUCCUCUGGGGACAGAGAUAAGAAGGGAAUGGAAAGUCACGCCGUGUCUUCAGUCUUGCAUGAGGGAGCACAGGCAAGAGAGGUGGGCGCUGCGGUGUUCCCAUACAUCACGGCGUUUCUGUAACCAGCAGAAACACCCGUUAGACACUGUCCUCUACAGAUUGUCUUGAACUGACACCCCCCACGCAAACAUCCUGCUUCCAGCCUCUCUUUGCUCCGUUGGUCCCACCUGGGCUGGGGGCUCCUCGCACACACCCACACCCACGGGACGUGCAGGUGAGGCUGCGAGCCUCUGCCCCAGGGCUCCACGCAGCCUCCCCCAGGGGGACCUCGACUUCUCCUGGUCCCACAGGGAGGCUUCAAGAGCCCAGCAGCCCGGGGCCGGGGCAGCAGCUCGGGGAGGCUGUGCUGAGGACAGCAGGAAAUCCAGUCCUUUCUGCUUUGUUCAGCGGCAGUGCCUGGCUGGACUCCUGGCUCUGCUUAAUUCUCCAGGAGGAAAUAUUUGUUCCUUCGAAAUUGACUGGAAUGAUUUAAGCCGUAUUUUUUAUCAAAAUAAAUUGUAAAGAAAUAAUGAAUCUAAUUCAGAUGAUGGCAACAUCAGAAUGCAUUCUUCUGGCCCCUCGCUAAUUAGAUUGCCAACCACACAGGACAUUCUCCAGUACAGAUAGUCUCCUAAGACCUGGGCCCCGCAGCCGGAGCAGAUGCUGUUUGUGCUGCACUGGGCACAAACCUGCACCCACACUGGGCACCCACACCUCGUGCCAUGCUGGUUGUACUGGGCUGGCUCCCCAAGACCUGGAGCUGGUGGCUUGUGAUAGUGCAGCCGGACUUGGUGACUGCUGCUCCCGUUCCUCGUCCUUCCCACUCAUGGGAACAGAAAGAAACCGGAAAGCAUCUCUGCACAUUUCCUUUUUCCCCCCAAAGAAGAGCGGUCUGUGUACAUCAGCACCAGUUAAGCUCAGGAGUAAUUUCUUAAUUCCGAGUGAUAAAAGCUUUCCCCUCCCAGCAUCAGCUGGCAGGCAGCUCAGCUCAGGGAGAGGCAGGAGACAGCAAGUAAGUUUUUCAGCUGUCUUCCUCUCCAUGCAGCUAUUUAAAAGUGAACUUUCUACAAAGCCUAAAUAAGCAGUCAUGUGAUGCAGGAAUUCCUGCAUUAUUAGGAUAUUUUGAAACAUGGCUGAAUAUGAAGUCAUCAAAUUUAAGCAGUUCAAAAUAUAAAGUUCAAAUAUACUUUUUUUUUUUUUUAAAUAAAAAAGGGCAUUCUCUCUCUCUCAUUAAAUAAGCAUUCAGUUCCCUCCUUUGGGAUGACUCUAGAUCUUUAAGACAGUCUCCACUAUU
rnacentral:lncRNA from 1 species